rnacentral:misc_RNA from 1 species
AAAGUCGUAACAAGGUCUCCGUUGGUGAACCAGCGGAGGGAUCAUUACUGAGUGUAAAAACUCCCCAAACCCACUGUGAACCUUACCACUGUUGCUUCGGCGGACACGCCCCGGGCGCCCCCCUCACGGGCGGUGCCCCGGACCCAGGCGCCCGCCGGAGACCAACCUAACCUCUGUAUUUAUCCAUGGGUAUCUCUGAGUCUGAUUUUGAAACAAAUCAACAUUAAAACUUUCAACAACGGAUCUCUUGGCUCUG